AACGAACGCUGGCGGCAUGCCUAACACAUGCAAGUCGAACGAGACCUUCGGGUCUAGUGGCGUACGGGUGCGUAACGCGUGGGAACCUGCCCUUAGGUUCGGAAUAACUCCCCGAAAGGGGUGCUAAUACCGGAUAAUGUCUUCGGACCAAAGAUUUAUCGCCUUUGGAUGGGCCCGCGUUGGAUUAGCUAGUUGGUAGGGUAAAAGCCUACCAAGGCGACGAUCCAUAGCUGGUCUGAGAGGAUGAUCAGCCACACUGGGACUGAGACACGGCCCAGACUCCUACGGGAGGCAGCAGUGGGGAAUAUUGGACAAUGGGCGAAAGCCUGAUCCAGCAAUGCCGCGUGAGUGAUGAAGGCCUUAGGGUUGUAAAGCUCUUUUACCCGGGAUGAUAAUGGCAGUACCGGGAGAAUAAGCUCCGGCUAACUCCGUG
rnacentral:rRNA from 1 species